rnacentral:rRNA from 1 species
GAUGAACGCUGGCGGCGUGCCUAAUACAUGCAAGUCGAGCGAACAGACGAGGAGCUUGCUCCUCUGACGUUAGCGGCGGACGGGUGAGUAACACGUGGAGAACCUACCUAUAAGACUGGGAUAACUUCGGGAAACCGGAGCUAAUACCGGAUAAUAUAUUGAACCGCAUGGUUCAAUAGUGAAAGACGGUUUUGCUGUCACUUAUAGAUGGAUCCGCGCCGCAUUAGCUAGUUGGUAAGGUAACGGCUUACCAAGGCAACGAUGCGUAGCCGACCUGAGAGGGUGAUCGGCCACACUGGAACUGAGACACGGUCCAGACUCCUACGGGAGGCAGCAGUAGGGAAUCUUCCGCAAUGGGCGAUAGCUUGACGGAGCAACGCCGCGUGAGUGAUGAAGGUCUUCGGAUCGUAAAACUCUGUUAUUAGGGAAGAACAAAUGUGUAAGUAACUAUGCACGUCUUGACGGUACCUAAUCAGAAAGCCACGGCUAACUACGUG